rnacentral:sRNA from 1 species
AUAAAGGAAGAGGGCAACGUUAUCAUCUGACUGCUUGUAGCUGUGGAAGGGCGGCGUAGAAGAGGAAAGGCUGGGGGUUUCGGAUGGUUGUUUUUGAAGCCAUCAGUAUUCUUGAAGAAGCAGCAUAUCUUGAACUGUCCUAUGGGUGAAGGCUUUGAUGUGGUCCUGUAAAAACUGGAUUUGGAGGAUCAUCUGAAUACCCAUCCAACAGAGAUCCAUGAUUCAUGUAUUUCUCAAGACAGCCAUACACUAAAAUUAUAAGAUCAUAAGAAUAUUAAUUAUAUUCUACCAAUGCAAUACAAGCAUUGAAAUGGAUGGCAUCUGAUCCUGCUUCAUGUGUUUCUUCAUUUAGCUCUGGACUCUUUACAUCAUUAAGGUACCCUGAAUAUAUUCAGUAUGGCUUUUUCUUUGCAGGAAUUUAAAAGCAACCCUAUGAAUAUAACAUUUGUCAAAAAGAGCAAGUGCCAAGCCAGUUGAGAAUAACCUUACAAUGUGUACAAGGAUUCCAGUUCUGCUGCUAUAUAAACCAGCCUCAAAUAGUCUGAGUCUGUGAUAUCACUGGGUCACCCCCAUCACUUCAGUAGAAGGCCUGCCACUGCCUGACAUGUGAAAGAGAGCAUCCAGGAUAAGCCACCUGUCAAACUGUCAACUUUAUGCAGAUAUACAAGUGACAGGUUUGAGAUCAGCCCAGCCCAGUCAACAGAGAAAUAUCCCAGUAGAAUCAUUAUAUAAUUAAAUAACAUUAAAAAAAAAAAAAACAAA